CAACUCGCCUGCAUGAAGCUGGAAUUGCUAGUAAUCGCGGAUCAGCAAGCCGCGGUGAAUACGUUCCCGGGCCUUGUACACACCGCCCGUCACACCAUGAGAGUCGGGAACACCCGAAGUCCGUAGUCUAACCGCAAGGGGGCGCGGCCGAAGGUGGGUCCGGUAAUUGGGGUGAAGUCGUAACAAGGUAGC
rnacentral:rRNA from 1 species